GACCUCGGAUCAGGUAGGGAUACCCGCUGAACUUAAGCAUAUCAAUAAGCGGAGGAAAAGAAACCAACCGGGAUUACCUCAGUAACGGCGAGUGAAGCGGUAACAGCUCAAAUUUGAAAUCUGGCCUCGGCCCGAGUUGUAAUUUGUAGAAGAUGCUUCGGGUGUGGCUCCGGUCUAAGUUCCUUGGAACAGGACGUCAUAGAGGGUGAGAAUCCCGUAUGUGACUGGGUGCCUCCGCCUGUGUGAAGCUCUUUCGACGAGUCGAGUUGUUUGGGAAUGCAGCUCAAAAUGGGUGGUAUAUUUCAUCUAAAGCUAAAUAUUGGCCAGAGACCGAUAGCGCACAAGUAGAGUGAUCGAAAGAUGAAAAGCACUUUGGAAAGAGAGUUAAACAGUACGUGAAAUUGUUGAAAGGGAAGCGU
rnacentral:rRNA from 1 species